CGCCCAUUAGCUAGCCCUCCCCGACAAAAACAACAAAUCCUCAUUAAUAACCCCAAACACACUGACAACCAACAAAACAAACCAUUUUUCCCCCUAAGUAUAGGCGAUAGAAAAG
rnacentral:rRNA from 1 species